UACGUAGGGGGCAAGCGUUGUCCGGAAUUACUGGGCGUAAAGCGCGUGUAGGCGGGACGACAAGUCCGGCGUGAAAGGCUUGGGCUCAACCCGAGAUGCCGUUGGAACUGUCGUUCUUGAGGGUCGAAGAGGAGAGUGGAAGUUCCUGGUGUAGCGGUGAAAUGCGUAGAGAUCAGGAGGAACACCCAUGGCGAAGGCAGCUCUCUGGUCGACCUCUGACGCUGAGACGCGAAAGCGUGGGGAGCGAACAGG
rnacentral:rRNA from 1 species